AUUCCACCGGACAAAGUUCCAGGCACAGUCUGAAUACCUUACAGCUAUUUACUUUAAUCCUCGCUGCAAGACUAUCCUCUUUUGACAGUGAGGAAACUGAGGCAGGGAAAUGAAGUAUUUUGCUCAAGCUUAUACAGUUAGUGGCAGAACUCGUAUCUGUAUUUCGCACCCAGGUAUAAGGCUCUGGAGGCCACACACCGAACUCCGCAUCCUGCAGCCUGAAGAAAAUGAAAUAAAACUCUUCCGACGAUGCCAGGGGCUGGGAUUCAUCGUUUACCCAGGACGGUAGGGUUGGAAUUUCUCAGAGGGAAGGCUCUGUUUUUGGAGGUCGUGGAGGGGAAAAUACCUGAGUUUUGUCUUGGUCUGAUCUCAUCCCGUAGCAUGAAGACAUUUUGUACCAUAUUUUUAUUCUUUUACUUAUUUAUCUCCCAUGAACAAAAUUUAUUGAGCAUUUACUAUGUGCCGGGGGAUGUUCAAAGCUUUAAAAACAUUUUUUUAAACAUUUAUUUAUUACUGAGAGACAGACACAGAGCAUGAGCAGGGGAGGGGCCGAGAGAGAGAGAGAGACACAGAAUCCGAAGCGGGCUCCAGGCUCCGAGCUGUCAGCACAGAGCCCAACGCGGGGCUCGAACUCACAAACUAUGAGAUUAUGACCUGAGCCGAAGUCGGACGCUUAACUGACUGAGCCACCCAGGCGCCCCAUCCCUGGGGUCUCUUUAUAAGGGUGCUAAUCCCAUUCAAGGGCUCCUCCUUCAAGACCUAGUCAUGUCCCAAAAGGCCCCCCUUCCUACUGCCAUCACCUUAGGGCUUAGGCUUCAACACAGGAAUUUCAAGAGGGUGCAAGCAUUUAGUUCACAGGACAACUUUCAUAGCAACUCUUCCUGCUCGGUGAGGACCAGGGUUAGAAUCUUCCCAUUUUAUAGGUGGUGCACAGAGGAAACUGAGGCACAGAGAGGCGAACUCACUGGGGACACCUCUGGGGCCCCUUUUGGAUGAGGCCACCUCACUCCAGAGCCCUCACUCUUACCACCACACUCCGCUCCGGGUCAGAUGUCACGACCUGCGUGCAGACAUCUCUAACAGAGUUCAUGGCUUCCUCGGGGACCCCUGGGAAUCCCUCAUUCUGGUCAAACGGUUCUGUAAUUUUUAUUUGCACAUUUAUCUCCCCAGUAGACUGGGGGCCCCUGAGAAGAGAGACUGGCUGUGCUCAGAACUUCCCUGAUGUCUGCGCUCGAGGGGAUGGCCCAGUGGACGACGGAGCGCCUGACUGGGGGCACUUCUGUGUGAUGGCAGUUUCUCUCCCGACUAGAAUUCAGAAGAGGGAAGGAAGCUUGAGAAACAAACACUGGAUCUUAAAGACAAAGUGACACAUACGUCACUGGCCAGAGUCCGCCACGUGGCCACCCCCGACUUCACCAGGAGGAAGCAGUUCAAUUCUCCCAAACGCCUGACUUCCCCACUUCCGCGUGACUGUGGCCAAGUCGCUUACUUUUCACUGUGUCUCAGUUUCCUUGUUUGUUUGUAUGAAGACAGACCCAUGACUUUGUUCGUGGCGUUGUUAAGAGGCUUAAAUGUGACAAUGAACAACAAAAAAUGUUAGACGGUUGAUGUCAUCUAUGCUGAGAACAUAGAAGAUGUUAUGUGUGUGUGUUGCGUCCAUUAACUGCAAACCUUCCAUUCAUUCCAUAAUUAUGUGCGCGCCCGCGCGCGCGCACACACACACACACACACACACACACACACAAUACAGCUGGAGACCCGGAGUCGGAGCCGUGACGAACAAAGGAGAGUGAGUUGGGGUGGAAAAGAGGGCGCGCAGGCCAUUCCUAGGGACUGGGGGCCGAGGAAGGGUGGAGAAAGGGAGGCGUCUCGGCGGAAGCUGCGUCCCGGAUGCAGAGGCUCAGGGAGGGGGCAGGUGGCCGUGCCGGUGGGGGGGCGGGGGCAGAAGUCCUGAGAAUUGACGUCCGGGGUCCAAAGGCCACGAGGAGCCAAGGAGCGCAAGGGCUCUGGG
ensembl:lncRNA